AGGUGGAAUCUAAGUGAUCAGCAGGACGCGCGGUGAGCCCAGUGUCCUCCGACGCCGCCAUCUUCCGACCUCUCCCUACAUUGUUUUUAUUUCUCUUGAGGAAAUGCUUCUGAGCUGAACUACCGUGCCAUGUGCUGGAAGGCCCUGCCCUUCAUGUCUCAUUCUGCCCAAUUUCCAGUCUUAAGAACUUCAGCUCAGGGACAGGAUCGGAGUCACUUGGAGGGGAGGAGGGCUUACACACUGCUGGCCUCCAUUUCUUAUAGUGCUCUCCAACCAUGAGUAUUCUGACACUACUCCACACCCACAAUGAAAGCCACUCCUUUUUAGAAAUGAUGACCUGAAGAACUCUUGAGAACACGUUGUUUAAUAUUCUUACAUUACAUAUAUGUAUACAUGGCAUAUAUUAUUGUCUCCCAAAGCAUACUGGAAAUGUCAGAGACUUUAUCCUAUACCCAUUAGUAAUCUACAUCUUGCCUAGUCAAACUGUGCUAAGACAUAAAAAUAUAUCAACAAUAAAUACUUUGUUGAAA